CACUCCCACCCUCCGCUCGCUGGACACGACCGUGUCAUUCUCUCCUCCGCUCCCUGCACUUUUCGACCUCCUCGAUCCGUCGCACCUGCUUGCCGUCGCCGCGACGCCGUCUUCGUCGUCUCAACACCAUCGUCUCAACACCAGCCACCACGCCUAGGUCUCUUUCGCUACCGUUGAUGCCAGGCAAGCGCACGACGACGACGAGGACCAAGGAAGCUACCCCGUAGCCUACCUACGGCCGAUGAACGCCACCCAUGCCCAGCAGGUUGUCGGCAAUCCGAGGUGUGCCACGGAGAAGACGACUCACCGACGGCGCGGCACAUCUCCUGUUGGUAAGCACGCGAGCACAUGCACAGUGUGAUCGGCGCUGCCGCCAUCUCCGACUCGAAGUUGCGCGACCUCGUGCUCGCCUUGUAAGGUUGGCUGCUCUUGCCCACCACCUGUUUCCUCAAAUGUGUACAGAUUCAUGUUGUGUUACUCUUCUGUGGAUACUCGAUAAACAAAUUGUCUAGAAUUUCUACGAAAAGCAGCGGGCACCGAUCAAUUUGCUGAUUAGGACACUACAUCAUGCCAUGAAGUCAGAAUUUGUUUAGGCUUAACCAAAAUAAAAUGAUCAUUUUCAAACGGUCUGUAGACUACAUUUUUUCUUGUCUAAAUCUGUGGUAUUGUGAAGCUAGCAUGUAGCAAUGUUGCUGCACAAAAAUAAUUCAGACUUAUACUGCCCUUCUCAUAUACGAGUUUCAGACUGUCACACGAGUUGCAGCGAAUGAAAACCAAGUCUUAAACAAAUUUAUUUGAAUGUUGGGCCAUUAUUCGUUGAAAAUUAUUUUUUUGACAAGUUAAUGUAAAGUGUAGGGAUCCAGGAUCAUGAAGCUUGGCUUGCCAUAGACUUUAUUUUAUUCUGAAAUCUCUGUUUCUGUUGCCAUCAGUUUUUUGGUUUAUGAAAUUCUUCCUAUUCUUUGCCUAUAACAAAUCACCUGUUAGCCGAUAAUAAAUCACCGCAUCUACACACUAAAAACAUUGUGGAUCAGAUCUUGAUCACUUGUUAGUCUCUGAAUUAUUAAAAAUUAUUGAAGAUAAUUCAGCUAAGCAGUCUUUAGUACUCCUUCAUCAAGGUAUUUCAGAGAUUGUGUGUCACAAUCUCUAAGGUAGGAUGAGCUUUUGUUCGGAAGGAAUUAAUAGAGAACAGCAGCAUGUGCUUGCCUGCUUUUGAAACAGACUUGUAGGAAGAACGACUUCUGAAACUCGAUAAGAGGUUUAGAACCUGGUGCUAGCAUGCUUACAGUUGUUCAGUAUAUUUUCUCUUUGUCCUUUUAUUCAUGGCACAAACAAAACUGAUUUAGUAUAAUAAGAGGACCGAAUAAAGAGAGGAUGCUAGAAUUGGAUUUCACUGUAGACAGAACUUAGUAUAAUAAGAUUCACUGUGUUUUACACUCUUUUUUUAACUGAAUGAUAGAGCUCCUUGAUAUAGAUUGUCAUUUUUGUUGUGUGAAUCUCUGAACCAAUGCACCAGCUGCUACAAAACACCUGCAUGGAUCAUGUAGGUGUGAAUUUUGAUCCGGUGCUGCUUUGCUAGAAUUAACAAGGCACAAGGGCAGACUAUCCCUAAUGCUGGUGUGUAUUUGUCUCAACCGGUGUUCUCCCAUGGUCAGUUGUAUGUUGCGCUAUCUAGAGCCACGGCCAGAUCGAACAUUAAGAUCCUUGCCAUCCCAUCCAGUGAUAAGAAUGAUAAGAAAAAGAAGACAAAAGUAAAUGGUACAUUCACAAAGAAUAUUGUCUACAAGGAGGUCCUCACUUGAUGACAAGGUAAUAAUAGAGGAGAUCGCAAAGAAAUGAGAGACAAGUAGUUAUGACUUGCUGAUAUGUUACUGAUUGGAUGUAAAAAUUAUAUA